rnacentral:miRNA from 1 species
GCUCAUUUAUUAUUCUUAAAAAUCUUUUAAAUUAUAUUUAUGUAUUUGUGUGUGUGUGAGAGUGUGCACACAUAAACACAAACACAGACACAUAGA